GGGACUCCGGAGGGGUGGUGCGGCAGUGAGAGUGGUAGCCCUGCUUUGAGAAGACCUCCCAAAAGAGGAGAGGGACCCUGAGGCCCUCUUUUGUUCAGGCAAACCUAGAGCCACCGUAGUCUUGUGCCCACUUCUGCAUGUCCUUUAGAGGGACCGUGAACAAUAGGAGCAUAGCCUGAGAAGGGCGACCAGGAGAGAAAAACGUUUGGAGACCGUGAGUCAUGAUUAUAGUCUUCAAAACCACACAGCAGGCCUGCCCUUUGGAGUCUCAGAGGGCAGGACUAGGCUCAAUGAGUGGAUGUCAUAGGGAGUUAAUUUCUCCUAGAACAGUAUGUUCCAGUAAAAGGAGACCAUGUGAUUGGCAUAGUGACAGCUAAAUCUGGAGAUAUAUUCAAAGUUGAUGUUGGAGGGAGUGAGCCAGCUUCUUUGUCUUACUUGUCAUUUGAAGGUGCAACUAAAAGAAACAGACCAAAUGUGCAGGCUAUUAGCUCCAGAUUGUGAAAUCAUACAGGAAGUGGGAAAACUCUAUCCACUGGAGAUAGUAUUUGGAAUGAAUGGAAGAAUAUGGGUUAAGGCAAAAACCAUCCAGCAGACUUUAAUUUUGGCAAACAUUUUAGAAGCUUGUGAACACAUGACGUCAGAUCAAAGAAAACAGAUCUUCUCCAGAUUGGCAGAAAGUUGAUAUAGGUGGACUUUACAGGUCAGUUGAGGCAAAAAACUAUGGGUUUUUUCAGGUGAACCUCCCCCAUUUAAAUACUCAGAAGAUAAGG
rnacentral:sRNA from 1 species